ensembl:lncRNA novel transcript
AGAAUUGCAGUUUCAGCCACCAGCAGCUCUCCGAUGGGCACAGGCUCCACUUAUGGCUGGUUUGGAAUGGCAAAUCCAUCACUCUCUUUGCCUGUAAAAUGCCAAGGAGACUGAUCUAAGCAGGGGGUUCCCAUCCAUGGCCUGCUCUAGGCCUGAAGGAACACAGAUGGCAUUUGCAGGAAGAUGACAUCUCACCAUCCCCAUCUGAGCAAAGCCUGCCCAUCAAACAACCAAAGGAUAGCCAGUCCCCUGCACAGUGUAAAGUGACUUGCAGUGAUCCUCUUCCCCAAGGCCAGCCCCAGCUCUCAGACCUCCAGUCCCAACAAGUCUUUUUUUGCAAAGGAGGCUCACCCUGGAACAUGGCUCUCCCAAGGGGAGACAGGAACGGAUGUUGACUUCAUCCCAGCAGCUUCUGACACAAUGCCACUAUCUUUCAACUUUCUCCACCAACAGGGUCAGGCUGUUGAUUGGCCUCGACUGCAGUUAGCCUGACACGGCUAGCAGCCUCAAAACAAAUUAAACGAGGCAGGGAUGCCGUGCAGUGAUCGUUCCAUUAUGUCCCCUCUGCUUCCACACGUGACUCACACUAUCACUUUUAGAAGGUGAAGCAUCUUAUUGAAUCAACACCUAAUCUGCACACAGUGUCACGGAGGAGGGGCGAGGGGACAGCGGGAGCAUUUUCUCUGAUCCUUUUCUUUCCUGAAGACUUCGCUGGAGACAGGCUGGGUGGGGGCGAAGAUGAAUUGUGAGGAACCCUGACCCUAUUUCAGGCAAGCAAAGACCACAAGAUUCUUCUGCACAUUUUCUCUUUACACCCUCUAGUACUGCUGCUACUGUCAGCUCCGACAGAUUUAUAGCCCAUUCAUUCAUGGGAACAAAAACCCUGCCACGGCUGGUCAUGGGACACGCAAUAGCAGUUAGUUCAAAAGAUAACAGCUGCAAUACCUCACCUCUCCAUUCAGCACUACAGAGCCAGCACUACUUCGGAGGUAAUAAAUGCUUCUUGUUAGUGUGCUUUGAGUCAUAAUCCUGGAAUAACUGUGGUCGGCCUUACCCCGGGCCCCGCCCCUAGGGAAACCGCUUUCUGCCACUCCCCAACACCCACCCCGCACCUUCACUCCAGCCCCUUUCUGCCAGAAAAGAGGGGAGUGGGGGGUUGAAGGCAGCCCACUGCGUAACCAAAAAGUGGACCCUGUCUCCUUUUUCCAGUCCACCCAACACAAGCUGGGUUGCUGAACCUUUGCAACUCAAGCACUUAGGCAACGCUGAAAAGCCGAGCUUCCUCGUGGUAAGUGGCAAUGUGGGUAUAUACAUUCUCCUUGCAAACUGAUCAGAAACAGAGCUCGGGCAUGAGUCCUGUCCCGACAAGAAGAGGCAGCUGGUCUGACUAGUCCACCACCAUCCUCAGAGCCUGGACACACACAACAAGCAUGUAUUAAAAGAAUCCAUGGAUUUUUUUUUUAAGUAGUGAAUGACCUGGGGAGGAAUAGAGGAUCGGUUCCACCCCGCUCACUCAGAGCAGGAAAAGGUUUAAUGCAAGAAGCAAUAUAGUGGUGAAGCGUUCUGCCUCAUUUUGAAGUCGGCCUUUCCCACCCACAGGCCUCAGUUUACUCAUCUUAAAAUGGGGAUGUUAACUGUACCGAUUCUACCAACAAAUCAGGGAUUUGUUGCUAGAAUUAAACAUAAAAAGUAAA